AAUGUACAGAGUUUUAGAAAAGAAUUUCUACUGUAAUUUUGUAAUAGACCGUUUUCUUCCUGCCAUUAUUUUUCUUCCUUUCUCUGGUUCCAAACCUUUCCUGGAAUUUAAAGUUGGAUACAGGUUUUGGAAAGCUGCUUCUAAGAAUAAUGUCCACCUACCCCCUCAACAUCAUCCCAGUACUCAAAACUGAUUAGCUCCUUGCUCUGAGGGGGAAAGCAAGCUGUCGGAGCUUAUACAUUUCUAUACUCGUGUUCCUUUGUUGCAAUCCUUUUUUCUUUCUUUUUGGGGAUGGGGAUCAAAUCCAGGUCCUCACACAUGCUAAGCACACACUCUUACCGAGCUACAACCCCAGCUCCAACUCAACCUUCAUCUUCCACAAAAGUCGUAUUAACAGGAAUAUUUUUGUUCCUGUUGGACUGAUGAGUUUUUCAAGUUUUGUUACAGUUGAUGAGUUUCUAAAUGUAACUGGCGUCAUGGCAUUUUGAGAAACCGAAAGUUCAUUCUAGCAUUUCUGAAAAAACAAGUUUUAAUUGUAAGCAUUUCUGCAUAGUGCCUCUGUGCCUCUGUGCCUCUGUAUGUAUUAUGUCUCUGCCCGUACCAGGCUUCUAAAGAGAGUCGUGUGUGUGUGUGUGUGUGUGUGUGUGUGUGUUUAAUAAAAUGAAAAUAUAUUGCUGUUUUCAUUCCGUUUUAAAACUGAUACUGAAACAAAUAACAGUAGUUUUAGUUAAAAUGCUGCUAAUUUGCAUACCUCUUACUUGAAUGUUUUGAUAUGUUUUGAUAAGUUUAAUAAUUCCAAGUGAUGUCUGUAUAAUUUUUAAAGUACGGCUGUCUAACACAUGUGCAUUAAAACUACUGAUUAA
rnacentral:lncRNA from 1 species